rnacentral:rRNA from 1 species
CCUACGGGGUGCAGCAGUGGGGGAUAUUGCACAAUGGGGGGAACCCUGAUGCAGCGACGCCGCGUGAGCGAUGGAGUACUUCGGUAUGUAAAGCUCUGUCAGCAGGGAAGAAAAUGACGGUACCUGACUAAGAAGCCCCGGCUAACUACGUGCCAGCAGCCGCGGUAAUACGUAGGGGGCAAGCGUUAUCCGGAUUUACUGGGUGUAAAGGGAGCGUAGACGGCAGCGCAAGUCUGGAGUGAAAUCCCAGGGCUUAACCAUGGAACUGCUUUGGAAACUGUGCAGCUAGAGUGCAGGAGAGGUAAGCGGAAUUCCUAGUGUAGCGGUGAAAUGCGUAGAUAUUAGGAGGAACACCAGUGGCGAAGGCGGCUUACUGGACUGUAACUGACGUUGAGGCUCGAAAGCGUGGGGAGCAAACAGGAUUAGAUACCCCAGUAGUC